rnacentral:tRNA from 2 species
GUUAUUUUGGCAGAUAAAGUGUGAUAGAUUUAGAAUCUUUAAAUGUAAUGUUUUACAAGUAAUA